AUGAAAUCUUCAACCUACAAGCUUUUGUGGUUUGUAGGCUUGGACUUGGAGGCUUGUCGGCCGUUAUCGGUCGGCUCCUCUUAAAUGCAUUAGCUUGGUUCCUUGCGGAUCGGCUCUCGGUGUGAUAAUGUCUACGCCGCGACCGUGAAGCGUUUGGCGAGCUUCUAACCGUCUUAUAAGACAGCUUUAUGACCUC
rnacentral:misc_RNA from 1 species